rnacentral:lncRNA from 13 species
GGGAGCAUCUGGGUGUUUCUGGGUAUUGCCAGAGGAGAUUAACAUUUGAGUCAGUAGACUGGGAGAGGAAGACCCCCCCACAGUGUGGGUGGGCACCAUCCAGUGGGCUGCCAGCACUAUAGAAAAAGCAGGCAGAAGAAGGUGGAAGAAGCUGACUUGCCCGGUCUUCCAGCCUUCCUCUUUCUCCUGUGCCGGAGGCUUCCUGCCCUUGAACAUAAGCCCCCAGGUUCUUCAGCUUGUGGACUCUUGGACUCACACCAGUGAUUUGCCAGGGGCUCUCCUGGCCAUUGGCCACAGACUGAAGGCUGCACUGUCAGAUUCUCUCCUUUUGAGGUUCUGGGACUCGGGCUGGCUUCCUUGCUCCUCAGCGUGCAGAUGGCCUGUUGUGGGACUUCACCUUUGUGAAGCCCAGUGUCCCGCCUUCACAUUUCCUGACAAGCCUCAGCAUGGACACUGCCUCCUAAUGGCAUUCAUGCGUCUCACGGCCUCCACUGCCCCGGGCUGCAGCCACGGCGUUGAUGACUUAUCCACCUUGUCCUGAGGUAUGAGCCUCACUAGUCAUCAGCUGCAUCACGUAACUUCCUCUUCUUUUCCGACAACUGCCCUAAAUAUAAUUAGGCAAAGCUAAGUAGGUUCUAUGUUUUCCUCCCACCAAAUGCAAGUGUCUGAAAUCGUUUUCCAUAGAAGUCUAGACAGCAUGCUGCAGGCACUAUUUUGCGGGAUGCUUUCGGGGUUUGGAGCCCACCUGUGCUCAGAGCAGAAUCCAAAAGGUGGCUGUGCUAGAGGCUCAGAUGUCGGACUGAGAGUCACAGGCUCAGUGGACAAGGGGUGCCUGCUCUUGGGGAGAGCUCCAUCCAGCAGGGGAGUCAGAUACAGAUGAUUAAAGAGGCUUCUAGUUACAUAACACUGUGCAGCCUUGCAGGUACCUAAGAACCCGGGCUCUAUCCCAGGUGAUGGGAGAAGCCACCGAGAU